AACGAACGCUGGCGGCAGGCUUAACACAUGCAAGUCGAGCGAGACCUUCGGGUCUAGCGGCGGACGGGUGAGUAACGCGUGGGAACGUGCCCUUCUCUACGGAAUAGCCCCGGGAAACUGGGAGUAAUACCGUAUACGCCCUUUGGGGGAAAGAUUUAUCGGAGAAGGAUCGGCCCGCGUUGGAUUAGGUAGUUGGUGGGGUAAUGGCCCACCAAGCCGACGAUCCAUAGCUGGUUUGAGAGGAUGAUCAGCCACACUGGGACUGAGACACGGCCCAGACUCCUACGGGAGGCAGCAGUGGGGAAUCUUAGACAAUGGGGGCAACCCUGAUCUAGCCAGGCCGCGGGAGUGAUGAAGGCCUUAGGGUUGUAAAGCUCUUUCAGCUGGGAAGAUAAUGACGGUACCAGCAGAAGAAACCCCGGCUAACUCCGU
rnacentral:rRNA from 1 species